UUCUACCACAAAGCGUAGAAGAAAAAUAAAAUAAUAAAAAGAGGAAAAAAGGAAAAAAAAAUUCUAUAAUUUUCCCACCCGUUUUCUCACUUGCCAAACAGUCCUCCGAAUCUCCCGGAUUCUCCAAUCUGCUUGUUCCUCUUCUUCUUCUCUCAAUUGGUCUUCGUUUUUCUCCUGAUUUUUCUCCCAACCCGAUCCGAUCCCGACACGAACAAUUCUAUGACAAAAAUCUAAAAAAGCAACAAAAAAAUUGAAAAGAAAAAAAAAAAAAAAGGAGAGAGAGAGAUUGAGCUGUUUGCAAAUGGGUGAGGAGGUGAGGAUGAGUGAGUACGAAGGAGCUGGCAGCGGCGGCGACGACGAGGCGCGGGUUUCAGAGUGGGAGGCGGGGCUGCCGAGCGCUGAUGAUUUGACUCCGCUAUCCCAGCCGUUGAUUCCGAUCGAAUUAGCCUCGGCCUUCAGCAUCUCGCCGGAGCCCUGCCGCACGGCCGUCGACGUCAACCGCGCGUCGCAUAAGAUGGUCUCGACGCUCCGCGGCGGCGCCCACUCCCAGGGGUUCUCGUCAUCGAACUACAAGUCGUUCGACGAGAACCGCAGCGACGACGUGGUGGAGCCGAUGGUCGUGGAGUUGGACGAGAGCGGUGAGAGGUACGGAUCCGAUUCGAGAAAGUCGCGGAAGGUCGAUUGCAGUGCGGAGGAGGCGGAUUCGGCGCUGAGGACCGAGAAUUUCUCGCCGGACGACACGUCAGCGCGGACGCUGAAGCGGCCGCGGCUGGUGUGGACCCCGCAGCUGCACAAGCGGUUCGUGGAGGUGGUGGCCCACCUGGGGAUCAAGAACGCGGUGCCCAAGACGAUUAUGCAGCUGAUGAACGUCGAGGGAUUGACACGCGAAAACGUCGCCAGCCACUUGCAGAAGUACCGCCUGUACUUGAAGAGGAUGCAGGGCUUAUCCGGCGACGUGGGGUCCUCCUCGUCGGACAAGCUUUUUGCCACCACGCCGGUACCGCAAAGCUUACGCCACGAGUCUGGCGGCGGCGGCGGUGGCGGUGGCGCUGGGGGCUCGGGUCAGGCGGGUCCGGGUCAGAGCCACGGAAAUGGGCAGUUUUCGUUUCGGAUGCCGUACCCGCCUGCCGGGAUGAUGCAGAUGCCGGUUCUCGGGAUGAGCCACGGGCACGGGCACAUGGGCAUGCCCGGCGGUGCGGGCAGUCACGGCGGUGCGUACCAUGGGUUCGAGUCGCACCACUACAACAUGGGUUCGAUGGUUUCGUACCAACAUGCUGGUUCGAAUGACAAAUGAUAAAUCUUUACACAUUAAAGUUGAGAUUCAGAAGUUUCAGCAUGUUGGUUAAAGCUAACUCUUCGAACUCAACCUGUAAGCUUGCUUGAUUGGUAAUCCCGAACCUGACAGGCACGGGAAGGGUUCUUAGGAAUUAUGUGGAGAAACUUUAGAGGCAUAUGGGUUUUGAAUGAAUAGCCAAUGUAGCAAAACUCCCCUCAUUAAAUUUAUACUCCUCUUCCAAGUUACGUAACAGUGGGAGGUUUGCUCCUAGUCUACAUUGUUGACACCGAGGGCGUCGAGCACAUCCCUGACCUGUUCUUGGUUUAUAUAUUCUUUGUAUCAAUAAGGUAUUAAGCCUUUUCUUUCCAGAUUCAAUGGAAAGAAGUCAAUAAAGAUAUUGCAAUUGUCUGUUACCUGUCCUUCAAUCCUGGGUUGAACGCUUUUAUCACCUUUUCACCUCCCUUGUCAUGUAUGGCGAUGUGUUAUGUUCCGAUAUUACGUAAAUACAUUUGCAAUUGCUUUAGUUAACCUUUUACAGUCUCUGCCUUUGUAUGAUGAUCUUCAGAAUAGCGAGUAUCUUAGCCAAUUCUCCUUGUUUCUCUCGGUUAAAGCUUGGGUUUCUGUCGCAUAAUAGUACUGGUAGUUCAUUCGGGGUACAUGGAUCCUUUAUUGUUUGAAGAUAACUACAGAGAGACUUCAUCAGAUAAAGCGGUAGCUUUUACAACGGCAGUAAAAUGGCGGAUACCUACCCACAGUGGCAGAGAGCGUUCGUAACUAAUUCAUUGUUUAAGUUAUGUUGUCAACUGAAAUAAUUCAUACUGUACCUCUCUACAGAUUGUAGUUGAGAUCUUUUGUAUUUCUUCUUCUACACUGGCUUUGUUCUUAAAAUCCUGUCGGGCUGAAACCUACUUGUAUGCGGUGAACAAACAUCGGUGAGAAGAUGUAUUUGUUUUGAUGAUCAAUAGUAUUUAAAUUCAUGUUAUCA